rnacentral:rRNA from 1 species
GACAGAGGGGGCAAGCGUUGCUCGGAAUUACUGGGCGUAAAGGGCGCGUAGGCGGGAUGGCAAGUCGGUCGUGAAAUCCCUCGGCUCAACCGAGGAACGUCGAUCGAUACUGCUGUUCUUGAGGAUUGCAGAGGAGACUGGAAUUCCCGGUGUAGCGGUGAAAUGUGUAGAGAUCGGGAGGAACGACCGGUGGCGAAGGCGGGUCUCUGGGCAAUUCCUGACGCUGAGGCGCGAAAGCGUGGGGAGCAAACGGG